rnacentral:rRNA from 1 species
AACGAACGCUGGCGGCAUGCCUAACACAUGCAAGUCGAACGAGACCUUCGGGUCUAUUGGCGCACGGGUUCGUAACGCGUUGUAACCUUCCCUUAUGUUCGGAAUAACUCCCCGUAAUGUGUGCUAAUACCGGUUAAUUUCUUCGGACCAAAGAUUUAUCGCCUUUUGAUGUGCCCUCGUUGUAUAGCUAGUUUGUAGGGUAAAAGCCUACCAAGGCGACGAUCCAUAGCUGGUCUGAGAGGAUGAUAAGCCACACUGGGACUGAGACACGGACCAGACUACUACGGGAGGGAGCAGAGGGGAAUAUUGGAAAAUGGGCGAAAGCAUGAUCAAGCAAUGACGCGUGAGUGAUGAAGGCAUUAGGGUUGUAAAGCUCUUUUAAACGGGAUGAUAAUGACAGUAACGGGAGAAUAAGCACCGGCUAACUCCGUG